UUAUUCUGGCUCAGGACGAACGCUGGCGGCGUGCCUAAUACAUGCAAGUCGAGCGGACAGAUGGGAGCUUGCUCCCUGAUGUUAGCGGCGGACGGGUGAGUAACACGUGGGUAACCUGCCUGUAAGACUGGGAUAACUCCGGGAAACCGGGGCUAAUACCGGAUGCUUGUUUGAACCGCAUGGUUCAAACAUAAAAGGUGGCUUCGGCUACCACUUACAGAUGGACCCGCGGCGCAUUAGCUAGUUGGUGAGGUAAUGGCUCACCAAGGCAACGAUGCGUAGCCGACCUGAGAGGGUGAUCGGCCACACUGGGACUGAGACACGGCCCAGACUCCUACGGGAGGCAGCAGUAGGGAAUCUUCCGCAAUGGACGAAAGUCUGACGGAGCAACGCCGCGUGAGUGAUGAAGGUUUUCGGAUCGUAAAGCUCUGUUGUUAGGGAAGAACAAGUGCCGUUCAAAUAGGGCGGCACCUUGACGGUACCUAACCAGAAAGCCACGGCUAACUACGUGCCAGCAGCCGCGGUAAUACGUAGGUGGCAAGCGUUGUCCGGAAUUAUUGGGCGUAAAGGGCUCGCAGGCGGUUUCUUAAGUCUGAUGUGAAAGCCCCCGGCUCAACCGGGGAGGGUCAUUGGAAACUGGGGAACUUGAGUGCAGAAGAGGAGAGUGGAAUUCCACGUGUAGCGGUGAAAUGCGUAGAGAUGUGGAGGAACACCAGUGGCGAAGGCGACUCUCUGGUCUGUAACUGACGCUGAGGAGCGAAAGCGUGGGGAGCGAACAGGAUUAGAUACCCUGGUAGUCCACGCCGUAAACGAUGAGUGCUAAGUGUUAGGGGGUUUCCGCCCCUUAGUGCUGCAGCUAACGCAUUAAGCACUCCGCCUGGGGAGUACGGUCGCAAGACUGAAACUCAAAGGAAUUGACGGGGGCCCGCACAAGCGGUGGAGCAUGUGGUUUAAUUCGAAGCAACGCGAAGAACCUUACCAGGUCUUGACAUCCUCUGACACCCCUAGAGAUAGGGCUUCCCCUUCGGGGGCAGAGUGACAGGUGGUGCAUGGUUGUCGUCAGCUCGUGUCGUGAGAUGUUGGGUUAAGUCCCGCAACGAGCGCAACCCUUGAUCUUAGUUGCCAGCAUUCAGUUGGGCACUCUAAGGUGACUGCCGGUGACAAACCGGAGGAAGGUGGGGAUGACGUCAAAUCAUCAUGCCCCUUAUGACCUGGGCUACACACGUGCUACAAUGGACAGAACAAAGGGCAGCGAGACCGCGAGGUUAAGCCAAUCCCACAAAUCUGUUCUCAGUUCGGAUCGCAGUCUGCAACUCGACUGCGUGAAGCU
rnacentral:rRNA from 1 species